GCAAGUCGAACGCGAACAGUUUCUUCGGAAACUAAGUAGAGUGGCGCACGGGUGAGUAACGCGUAAGUAAUCUACCCUGGUAUCUGGGAUAACCCACCGAAAGGUGUGCUAAUACCGGAUACGCUGAUUUAUCAGGAAAGGUGGCCUCUUCAUGAAAGCUACUGUACCAGGAGGAGCUUGCGUACCAUUAGCUAGUUGGUAGGGUAAUGGCCUACCAAGGCAACGAUGGUUAGCGGGUCUGAGAGGAUGAUC
rnacentral:rRNA from 1 species